UAUAUCAUUCUACGACUUGCACGCAAUUCUUGCACGGCUUUCGGUAGUUUGCUAUUACUGUUUUUUAUUUAACAAAAAUUAAUGGAUUCUUCUGAAGAAGAAGCCGAUUAUGAUAUUGUCAUCAAUAACAAUGAGGUACAACCUUACAUGUUUGAGCCUUUGGCCAACGCGCAAGGUGGUCAUAGUAAUGAAUACAAUUCAAUACAAUUCUUCGUCAUCGGAAAGCGAAGAUAAAUACAUUCACAGAAUUGGAAAUGUUGAAUGGUGCGAGUGUGGCUUUUGUGUGGUCAUGAGUACAGGACGGGAAAGUAUAUGUUUCCAAGAGGUAAACAACACUGAUCCUCUGAUACAUGGCGAUCAUAUUUGCAUCACACAAGAGGAAGAGUUUGCCACAGUAUGUACAAACGAAGCUGUCUUAAAAACAGCUAUGGUCGUGUACACACAUGACAUUGGACCUAUGCCUGAGAGUGAAGAAAACGAAGCAUUACGCUACACGGCGUACCGACAGUGGCACGGCUUGGUGGACGGCUUGGUUGCAUUGUCAUUGUCGGAUUCUUCAUUUUCGCUUAACUCAUUUGAACAUUGAGAGUCUGAUCCAUUGUUGCUAUUGCUCAUCGUCGACGUGCUUUCUGUAUCAGUCCAUACAGCGCUAUCCUCAAAAUGUUCAAUUUCACAUGACGUCGUCUGUGUGCUGUGAUUUUUUUGUUGAAAUGAACUCAACCUCCGUACCUUAGCAUAAAAUUAUCGUAUUGCUGGAUUUUUCACAAAAAUCAAAACGGCCGGAAUGGAAAGUCUAUACCUCUACUUAUCAUAUUUGGCACUUUUGUUUGAGUGGUUCUUGACCUUACGUGUUUUUGCGGACGGAUUGUUAUGGCUGCUUGGCAUUUCACAUUGCGCUUCUAAGACAAACUUCCUUUGAGGUAAAACGCACAAACAUUUCGAGCCGAUGUCGACACAUCGUGGUCGUCGUCUACAAGAAAGUCGUCAUGUUCUGCAAGAACGUCGUCAAUAAUCUAAAAUUAUAAAAUUGUCUUCAAUUUGAUGCUACACUUGUGGGUUCCACAGAGUAUUCAAACAUCGUGGGUACAGCAUCCUUCUUAAGGCGAAGCCGUCCUGCUGUCCAUCCUACUGAUUGCAUCGCUUCAAAAUUUUGCACGAAGCACGAACUCUCGAAAUGUUGCGAGCACAAUUUUGAGCUCUUUGUUGGCUUCCAAUUUUUGCGUCGGAUUUUUUCAAUCCAAAUAUCUCGCAUGCGCUUGUUUUC